rnacentral:rRNA from 1 species
GACGAACUGUGCAAACGUUAUUCGGAAUCACUGGGCUUAAAGGGUGCGUAGGCGGUCUUGUAAGUAGGGUGUGAAAGCCCCCGGCUCAACCGGGGAACUGCGUCCUAAACUGCGAGGCUUGAGUGAGGUAGGGGUGUGUGGAACUUCCAGUGGAGCGGUGAAAUGCGUAGAUAUUGCUCGGAAGGCCAACGGCGAAGGCAGGUUACUGGUACGCAACUGACGCUGAGGCACGAAAGCGUGGGGAGCAAACAGG